GCACAGUAACUUUGCACUGCCAGGAGACCCAGCAUGUUCCUCCGAGGCAUCCAGUAGGAACCAUCACCAAAAGCUGUUUGCCCUGAUGGAGACACCCUCAAUUUGAAAUAUUGCUUUAUUUCUCUGUGCAGAGGCAUGCAUUACAAAUUAAUUGAGCAGGCAUGUCUAUGUUAGCAGUAGGCUCACCAGAGAGUGCUGGGAUGAGAAGGGACAGAUAUACUUGUGUAAGCAAAGCAAGUUCAACCUGCUGGCAAAUGUUUUAUUUUGGUGCUUUGAGACAACCUCACUUUUUCUUCAAUCAAGACAAAAGAGGUGAGGCUGCUCACAGAAACAACUACAAACAUAACUUUGCAGGUGUCCCAGUUGCUGGUUACAGAGUUGUCUGCAGUCUACAGCUGUCUGUCCAUCCCAGUAAAUGCAGAGAACAUUUCCAUCAGGAAGGCCUAAAAAGAGAAAUGUGUAUAUUUUAUUUUAAACAGAAAAGGCUACACUGCCUACAUCAUGGUAUUGCCAAGGUGUUUCCUUCAACUUCUUGUUUAUAA
rnacentral:lncRNA from 1 species